rnacentral:lncRNA from 1 species
AGCUUCCCAGCGAUGGCCACAGGGCUGCACAGCCCAUGGCUGGUUGCUGGGGUCAGUGAGGAGCCCUGAGUUGCUGUUGGUCCAUGAUCUACUGGCGAUGAGUUCAGUCAUGAGUGGCUCCAGCCUGAGAAACACCAUCCAGGGCCAUGCAAAGGCACUUUGAGCCAGUAGUAGGAGUAUGGGCUUCCUCUGGCUGUUUUCCUGGUUGGAGGCUCUUUAUCUCCGAAGUGGAGGACAGGUACAGAUGCUGCCUUAAGUCCAGGUGCUACCCCAGUGCUGGACAACACUGGUGCUGUCUCACUGCCCUUGGACAUCUACAUGCUCACAACAUCUGUACCACAUACCAGAUUCUCUACCUUGAAAAUCAGGUGACUGCCUUUCACAAAGUUAUAAGAAAGUCUGAAGAAAGAAAACCUGAGAUAAGAACACCAUUGCUCUCCCUUGCCACACAAAAGGAUCUUCUCCAGCCUUAA